UACGAAGGGGGCUAGCGUUGCUCGGAAUCACUGGGCGUAAAGCGCACGUAGGCGGCUUUUUAAGUCAGGGGUGAAAUCCUGGAGCUCAACUCCAGAACUGCCUUUGAUACUGGGAAGCUUGAGUCCGGAAGAGGUGAGUGGAACUCCGAGUGUAGAGGUGAAAUUCGUAGAUAUUCGGAAGAACACCAGUGGCGAAGGCGGCUCACUGGCCCGGUACUGACGCUGAUGUGCGAAAGCGUAGGGAGCAAACAGG
rnacentral:rRNA from 1 species